AUUAUGUUUAAUUAAGAAUUUUUGUUAGAUUAAUUAAAUAUUUAUAAUUAAAGUUUUAAUAAAUUUGAUAAGUUUAAGUAAUAAUUUUGAAUAAAUUAAAAUUUUUAUAAUUUAGUAAUGUAAAUGAAUAUUUAAUAUUAUUAUAAAAGUAAUAUGUUUUUUACCUUUUGUAUCAGGGUUAAUUAAUUAUAAUUUAUUUAUUUAAUAGUCUCGAAAAUAAAUGAGUUAAAUUUAUAAAAUUUUUUUUGUUAAAUUAAAAUUAUAAAUAUAAAUUUAGAGAUUAAAUGUUAUUCAAAUUUAUUAAUAUCUAGUUUUUUUUUAAUUAAAUUUAAUUUAUUUAUAAAAUUUAUUAUAAAAUUUAUUAUAAAAUUUUAUAAUAAUUUUAUAGAAAAAAAUUAUGGGAUAAACUUUAAUUUUAGUUACAAUAUAUAUAUUAUAUAUAAUAGAAUUUAUAUAAAUAUAUUAAUAAAAUUUUAAUUUAUUUGAAAUUAUUUUAUAAUUUAUAAUUAAAAUAAAAGAUUUUUUUUAUAUGUAUAUUUUAAAAAAAAUAUUAUAUUAAUUUUGUAUAUAAUGGUAUAAUGAUUAAAUAAGUAAUAUAAAUUAUAAAUAUAAAUUUUUAUAAAUUUAUAAUUAAAAUAUAUUUAAGGAAUUAGGCAAAAAUUUUUAUUUUAGAUUAUAUAUUCAACUGUUUAACAAAAACAUUGUUUAUUGAUAAUAAUUUUAAAUAAAUCUGCCCAAUGAUAAUUUAAAUUUAAUGGCUGCAGUAUAAUUAACUGUGCAAAGGUAGCAUAAUCAAUUGUUUCUUAAUUAGAAACUUGGAUGAAAGAAUUAAUGAAAUAUUUACUGUCUCAUUUAUAUUAAAUGAAUUUAGAUUUUUAGUAAAAAUACUGAAAUUUAUUUAUGGGACGAUAAGACCCUAAGAAUUUUAUUAAAUUAUAUAAUUAAAUUUUAUAAUAUAUUUAAUUUUAUUUAUAUAACUUAAUUUAAUUGGGAGGAUUAUUAAAUUUAUAAAACUUUAAUAUAUUUAAUCUAUAAUAAAAGAAUUUUUUUGAUCUAUAAAUUAUAAAUAUUAGAUUAAAUUACCUUAGGGAUAACAGCGUAAUAUCUUUUGAAAGAUCAUAUUUAUAAAGAUGUUUGCGACCUCGAUGUUGAAUUAAGAUUAAAUUUAAAUGUAGAAGUUUAAUUAUUAAGUCUGUUCGACUUUUAAAAUCUUACAUGAUUUGAGUUCAGAUCGACGUAAGUCAGAUCGGUUUCUAUCUAUAAAAAAAAAAUAAUUAUUUGUACGAAAGGACUAUAAUCAUUAAAUAAUUUAUUUGAUUUAAAUAAAUAGAUA
rnacentral:rRNA from 1 species